rnacentral:piRNA from 1 species
UUUUCCCAAGUCAUAAUACUGUAAU